rnacentral:rRNA from 1 species
UACGGGGGGGGCAAGCGUUGUUCGGAAUUACUGGGCGUAAAGGGCUCGUAGGCGGCCAACUAAGUCAGACGUGAAAUCCCCAGGCUCAACCUGGGAACUGCGUCUGAUACUGGAUGGCUUGAAUCCGGGAGAGGGAUGCAGAAUUCCAGGUGUAGCGGUGAAAUGCGUAGAUAUCUGGAGGAACACCGGUGGCGAAGGCGGCUUUCUGGACAGGUACUGACGCUGAGACGCGAAAGCGUGGGGAGCAAACAGG